rnacentral:siRNA from 1 species
CGACUAAUUGCCGACUAUGCCUA